UUAUUUAAUGCCCACCAGGCCACACCCGCACUCCCCCAGUCUGUUUUUCUGAGACACCGAGAAGAAAAAGAAAGAGAAGUACAACGAAAAAGUAGCUCUAAUUCUACUCAAAUUCCAGGCUUCCAGAGGAAUCAUAAUUUGAGAACAGAAACUCCAAUUUUUCUGAGUCUCUUCUUAGGUUUUUUGGACAAGCUUGUGAAAAGGGGCCAAGUAUGGAAGACGAACGUAAUAUGGCGCCGCCUUUGAUGGUGUUGCCUAGAGGCGGAGUCGGUGGCGGCGGUGGCGGCGGCGGCGGCGCUGCUGAUGGAGAUGUGGGAUUUAGGAAGAUUAUUGAUCGCGAGGAUAAUUAUCGGAGGCGGAGGCUGCCACGUAUUUCAUUGAAUGUGGAGGUCGAAGAGGAUAAAGGAGUCGAAAAAGAUGUUGGUCAGGUUAAAACCAGUUGAAACCAAGAUUUGUUUUGUUGCCUCCAUCAAGAAGGAAAAAAGAAGCAGGAACAAGCAAUUAAAGCAACACUUUAAAAGCUUUCUAUAUGUCUGUCUUAGCACUUAACGUGAGGUUUAUCUCUCUAAAUUUUGGAUUUUUUUUUUUUUUUAAUGGAUUCAAUGCGUUUUAUUUGUUGUUUAUAUUAGAAUUUUUUUAUUUUUUA